rnacentral:rRNA from 1 species
CGUACCUUUUGGUUCGGAACAACUGAGGGAAACUUCAGCUAAUACCGAAUAAGCCCUUACGGGGAAAGAUUUAUUGCCGAAAGAUCGGCCCGCGUCUGAUUAGCUAGUUGGUAGGGUAAUGGCCUACCAAGGCGACGAUCAGUAGCUGGUCUGAGAGGAUGAUCAGCCACACUGGGACUGAGACACGGCCCAGACUCCUACGGGAGGCAGCAGUGGGGAAUAUUGGACAAUGGGCGCAAGCCUGAUCCAGCCAUGCCGCGUGAGUGAUGAAGGCCCUAGGGUUGUAAAGCUCUUUUAACGGGGAAGAUAAUGACGGUACCCGUAGAAUAAGCCCCGGCUAACUUCGUGCCAGCAGCCGCGGUAAUACGAAGGGGGCUAGCGUUGCUCGGAAUCACUGGGCGUAAAGCGCACGUAGGCGGACUCUUAAGUCGGUGGUGAAAUCCUGGAGCUCAACUCCAGAACUGCCUUCGAUACUGGGAGUCUCGAGUUCGGGAGAGGUGAGUGGAACUGCGAGU